AGCUAAAUGAUGAAAUCACUUAGAUCUGAAUUUGAUGUAGAUCUAAUGUAGGUCUUCAAAGUUCUCUGAUUGCU